GCCUACGGGAGGCAGCAGUAGGGAAUUUUCGUCAAUGGGCGCAAGCCUGAACGAGCAUGCCGCGUGAACGAGGAAGGUCUUCGGAUCGUAAAGUUCUGUUGAAGGGGAAAAAGAGCGGAGAGAGGAAAUGCUUUCUGAUUGAUAUUACCCUUCGAGGAAGUCACGGCUAACUACGUGCCAGCAGCCGCGGUAAUACGUAGGUGGCGAGCGUUAUCCGGAAUGAUUGGGCGUAAAGGGUGCGUAGGCGGCCUGCUAAGUCUGGAGUGAAAGGUACCGGCUCAACCGGUACAGGCUCUGGAAACUGG
rnacentral:rRNA from 1 species